UACGAAGGGGGCUAGCGUUGUUCGGAAUUACUGGGCGUAAAGCGCGCGUAGGCGGUUUUGCAAGCCAGAGGUGAAAUGCCUGAGCUCAACUUAGGAAUUGCCUUUGGGACUGCGAGGCUUUGAGGACUGGAGAGGUGAGUGGAAUUCCCAGUGUAGGGGUGAAAUUCGUAGAUAUUGGGAAGAACACGGUGGCGAAGGCGGCUCACUGGCCAGUUUCUGACGCUGCAGCGCGAAAGCGUGGGGAUCAAACAGG
rnacentral:rRNA from 1 species